AGAAUCAACGCUGGCGGCGUGCCUAACACAUGCAAGUCGAACGAGAAAGUGGAGCAAUCCAUGAGUAAAGUGGCGACCGGGUGAGUAACACGUGACUAACCUACCCUUGAGUGGGGGAUAACCUAGGGAAACCUGGGCUAAUACCGCAUAAUACCUUCGGGUCAAAGGAGCAAUUCGCUUAAGGAGGGGGUCGCGGCCGAUUAGUUAGUUGGCGGGGUAAUGGCCCACCAAGACUGUGAUCGGUAUCC
rnacentral:rRNA from 1 species